UACAGAGGUGGCAAGCGUUGUUCGGAAUUACUGGGCGUAAAGGGCGCGUAGGCGGCCUGGGAAGUCUUGGGUGAAAGCCCCCGGCUCAACCGGGGAAGGGCCUGAGAAACCACUGGGCCGGAGUGCUGGAGAGGAAAGCAGAAUUCCUGGUGUAGCGGUGAAAUGCGUAGAGAUCAGGAGGAAUACCUGCGGCGAAGGCGGCUUUCUGGACAGACACUGACGCUGAGGCGCGAAAGCCAGGGGAGCAAACAGG
rnacentral:rRNA from 1 species